GCUCAGAAGCUUUGCAGAACGAGGCAAAACCGCCCCACACUUGCCAUUUUGUCAUGUUAGUCAUGUAGUCUGACUGAAGACUCCCAGAAUCCUCCAUGUUUGUGUAGGUUAGUGCUUUCCUGUCGUGCUAGAACUACGAGAAACCAUUACUACUGGAUGAAGGCAUUCGUUAAGACGAGAUCUCUGAGAUGGAAGAGCUCCUUGAUUCUGAGAAAUCAAAGUUGACUAUUAAAGGAGCUGAGUUAAAAAUCAUCUAUGCUUUUCAAAAGUAAGUUGUAUUAAUGGAUACUGUCAUGGGAAAAUAUGUUUUUUUUUUUAAAUGCAUCAAUUAAUAGUUCUGCUCCAGCAGAAUUUUGCACUGGAAUCCAUUUUUCAAAAGAGCAAACAGAUUUUUUUACAUUUUAAUUUUGAAAUCUGCCAUGGGUCUAGGCUCAGGGUCCAUUUUGCCUGAUCCCUUACCUAAGUAGGCAGAAAGGGUUUUCUGUGGAAGCCAGAAAAGGCCAGGUCUAGCAAUUGAUAGGCUACUCACUUUGAUAGAUCACUCUAGUGAUAGAUGGACAGAGCGAUAGACCGGUUCAGGGCUAUUUUAACCGAGCAGCCUAGACUCCAGGAGUAUUAAGUGGGACAAGGAUCCCGGGUACUAAUUGGUCAGAGUAGAGACUAGAGUCCUGCAUCGGGUUAGGUACCCGUGGGAUAACAGCAAAUCUGUAGGGACUCGGACUGAAUCUAUUUGAUUUUACCACCGUGCGAGUAACCUGUGGGUACCCGACUCACUGCAGUGGGGGUGGCCAUUUAGGGAACAAUAAGGGAAAAUCUACCUUUUACAAUAUAAAAGCGAUAACUCCAUAAUGCUUAAUGCGGAAAGGGUUGUGCGGAUUUCCUUUGGUUUCAGAAAGAGGGUAAGCGGGUACGGGUUUGGGCACUGGUCUGAAAAAACAGACCCACGCAGGACUCUGGUAGAGACUAAAGAGGCUUAUAUCUUAAGCCUUCAUUUUUUAUGGUCGAGUUUUUCAAGGGGAAAAACUUGAAUUGUUAAAGGGAAAAAAACAUAAAAAGGUUUAUUAUGCUAUGAAGCUGCUAAAAAUUCAAAUUCAGAAAAUAUUCCAGCUAAAACCUGUAGAAGUCAGAUGGUUCCUUUAACAAUUGGAACAUGUUUUUUACCUUCAGGAUUCUCCAUGGUUUCAGGGCUUUUUUUGCUGAUUUUCAUUUAAUAAUUCGAUAAAUUCGAGUUUUCGGAGUGACAAUGCCAAAAAGUUGCAAGAUUCGAGUUGACACUCAGUUUUGUUGUGACUUUUUGUUGCACCAAUUGUUUCAACAAAUUUUAUUGCUAAAUUAAGGAAAUUCGGGAGAGUUUGGUUGAAUUUGUUUUAUAAUAAAGCGAGAAAAAAAAAUAGAUUUUACUAAAUAACCCCCUAAGUGUCAGAGAUAGCUCCACUUAGGGAGAAGGCUGAAAGCUGGGAGUACUCCUGUGUAUGCUAUGUUUUCUCUCUCUUUUACCCUGCAGGGAAUUACAUUAACCA